rnacentral:ncRNA from 1 species
CUUAAGAUGAGACUUCCCGGGACGUAAGUCUCCUAAAGGGUCGUGGAAGACCACCACGUUGAUAGGCCGGGUGUGGAAGCGCAGUAAUGCGUUAAGCUAACCGGUACUAAUUGCCCGUGCGGCUUGACCCU